CACGUAGGGCGCAAGCGUUGUUCGGAUUCAUUGGGCGUAAAGGGUGCGUAGGCGGCGCGGUAAGUCGGGUGUGAAAUCUUGGAGCUUAACUCCGAAACUGCAUUCGAUACUGCCGUGCUUGAGGACUGGAGAGGAGACUGGAAUUUACGGUGUAGCGGUGAAAUGCGUAGAUAUCGUAAGGAAGACCAGUGGCGAAGGCGGGUCUCUGGACAGUUCCUGACGCUGAGGCACGAAGGCCAGGGGAGCAAACGGG
rnacentral:rRNA from 1 species